GCAUCUAAGCAUGAAGCCCCCCUCAAGAUGAGAUUUCCCAUAGCGUCAAGCUAGUAAGAUCCCUGAAAGAUGAUCAGGUUGAUAGGUCAGAGGUGGAAGCAUGGUGACAUGUGGAGCUGACUGAUACUAAUCGAUCGAGGACUUAACCAUA
rnacentral:rRNA from 1 species